GGACGCUCCAACAAAAACAGCUAUUCAGACACCUCGGUAGCUUUCUAGCAUAGCUACAACAUUCACGCUCUUCACGCUGUUUUUGGUGUAUUUUAGUCUCUGUGAAUUAAACACACAUCUGUCGUAUGUACUUGUUGGCCCAUUUAAUUAUAUAUUUACGUUGUUUGUCAGCUAGCUGGUUUGCUAGGUUAGCUUAGAACUAGGCUAGUCGCUAGCCCCGGCCAUGAGGUCACUAAGCUACUCUCCUCCUGAUAAAGAAGAGGAGGUCUGCUGGACGGAGAAAGAAGCUCCGGUCAAAGAGGAGGAGGAAGAGGAGGCUGUUACAAUACAAAAACAAGUAGAAGGUGAGGCUGAGAAAGACGUUUCAGUGAAAUAAGAGGAAGACGCGUUCAGAGUGAAGGAGGAGGAGGAAGAGAAAGAGGAAGAUGCCGUUUUGGGAGUGAAAGAGGAGGGGGAGAUGACUGUCACAUUGAAAGAAGAAGAGGAUGUUGGAGAUCUGUUUAACACCACCUUUCUCUCCUCUGAAGACCCAGUGAGGGUGGAGCUCGGUCAGAGAGCUGUUGAGGGACUGGUUAGGAAGAACACUUCUACAGCCAGAGAGGGGCAGUCAAGAAAUGGAACAGCAAGGCCACAGAACGACAUAAGCAGAGCUGUGGGAGACCACCUCAAGCCCCUGGUAGAGCCGGGGGUGGUGUUUACCAUUCCUUCAGCAGGCUGGAAAAGUGUAAUUGAUUAUUUUUUUCAUACUAAGAUGGACCAAGAGUCUGUUGAUUGGUCGGUCAUUGGGUUAAUUUGUUUCGCAAUAUGUUAAAAUCAAAUCAAGCUUUAUUUACACAGCACAUUUCAGACAUGGAUCGAACGCAAUGGCUUCAUUAGAAAAAACUAAUAACAACUGAAAGACUCUUGAGCAUUCUAAGGAAAUGUCAUUGAUUAAAAUAUGACCAAUUGGAUUUAAUAUCCAACCUAAAAUAUAAGCUUGUUUUUAAAGGAGUUCUAAAAGACUCUGGGGGUGUCCACUGACGAGUAACAAUAACUGGGACCUAAAAGACACCCACCAUGAGACCCACCCAAUCUGCCCAAGAAGAGGCAAAAAAAAAAAACACACAACAAACUUUAAGACAGGACGCAAACCAAAAAGGUGGUUAAAAUAAUUUAUUACAAUCAAUACCAUUCAUACUAUUACAAAAUCAUAAUUCUCAUUCAUUCUUAAUUAAUUCUAUUUACAAAAACAUCAAACAAAAACAAACCUCAGGGGAGCAUCGUCCCUCCCCGUCAUACCUAACCAAUACCUAACCCUUUCCCCAUCUCCCCUUCCCUAAUCUAUCCCCUUACCAACACUCCCAGCCCUAAACCCCCUUUCCACCUCUCCUGUGCUGCAUGCUUCCCCCACUUCCUCUCCUCCCUCUUCAUCCUCCCCCUCAAAUCACCUUCCACCCUUCUCACUAUCCCUUCCACCCCCCAAUCUCUCCCUGUCUUGACUAAAUUCUGCCUGGCUUCCCACAGUCCCUUUUUAAAGAGACUCAUGAGAAGCCAGAGCAGAAACCUGUCCCUAUCCGUUCCCUUUGCUCUCCCUACGCCUCUCUCUAGCCUAUGUCAAAACAAAAUCACUCCUAACCACACCUAGCAUCACCCGUGCCCUAGCCCAGACUAGUCCGGCAAAGGCACAGUCCCAGAAGGCAUGGCGCACAGUCUCCUCCCUGCCACAAGAGAAUCUUGGACAGGUGGGGGAUUGCACCAAACUAUACCGGUACAAGAUGGAAAGUACCGGCAAACGCUUAUGAAGGCUCAACCAAUUCAGGUCCUUGAGCCCGUUGUCCAGGCCCCGCGCCUGCACUCCCUCCCAGACCACUGACGAGAUGCCCGCUACGGGCGCAGGACUCUCUGCCUGCCUGACCUCCUCGUACAGGUGCCUGUGGUCUAAACCUACUCGGGCAACUUCAACCUCGGGGUGCGCACGCAGCCACUUGGCCGCAUGACCAAAGUGCCACGGCAGCUGUUCCGCC